UGUGCCUACGGGAGGCAGCAGUGGGGAAUAUUGCACAAUGGGGGAAACCCUGAUGCAGCGACGCCGCGUGAGCGAAGAAGUACCUCGGUAUGUAAAGCUCUAUCAGCAGGGAAGAAAGUGACAGUACCUGACUAAGAAGCCCCGGCUAACUACGUGCCAGCAGCCGCGGUAAUACGUAGGGGGCAAGCGUUAUCCGGAAUUACUGGGUGUAAAGGGAGCGUAGACGGUGAUGCAAGUCUGGAGUGAAAGGCGGGGGCCCAACCCCCGGACUGCUCUGAAAACUGUAUGACUUGAGUGCAGGCGAG
rnacentral:rRNA from 1 species